UACAGGGGGGGCAAGCGUUGUUCGGAAUUACUGGGCGUAAAGGGCUCGUAGGCGGCCAACUAAGUCCGACGUGAAAUCCCAAGGCUUAACUUUGGAACUGCGUCGGAUACUGGAUGGCUUGAAUUCGGGAGAGGGAUGCAGAAUUCCAGGUGUAGCGGUGAAAUGCGUAGAUAUCUGGAGGAAUACCGGUGGCGAAGGCGGCAUCCUGGACCGACAUUGACGCUGAGGAGCGAAAGCUAGGGGAGCAAACGGGG
rnacentral:rRNA from 1 species